AGUGAACGCUGGCGGUAGGCCUAACACAUGCAAGUCGAACGGCAGCACAGUAAGAGCUUGCUCUUACGGGUGGCGAGUGGCGGACGGGUGAGGAAUACAUCGGAAUCUACUUUUUCGUGGGGGAUAACGUAGGGAAACUUACGCUAAUACCGCAUGCGACCUACGGGUGAAAGCAGGGGAUCUUCGGACCUUGCGCGAUUGAAUGAGCCGAUGUCGGAUUAGCUAGUUGGUGGGGUAAAGGCCCACCAAGGCGACGAUCCGUAGCUGGUCUGAGAGGAUGAUCAGCCACACUGGAACUGAGACACGGUCCAGACUCCUACGGGAGGCAGCAGUGGGGAAUAUUGGACAAUGGGCGCAAGCCUGAUCCAGCCAUACCGCGUGGGUGAAGAAGGCCUUCGGGUUGUAAAGCCCUUUUGUUGGGAAAGAAAAGCAGCAGGUUAAUACCCCGCUGUUCUGACGGUACCCAAAGAAUAAGCACCGGCUAACUUCGUG
rnacentral:rRNA from 1 species